UGUGGUCUCACAGGCAUUGGGAGUACGUGACAGUCAGUGUAUGUGGUUUCUCACAGCGCUAGGAGUAGUGACAGUCAGGGUAUUUGGUCUCACAGCGUUGAGGUACGUGACAGUCAGGUAUGUGGUCUCACAGCUUGGGAGUACGUGACAGUCAGGGUAUGUGGUCUCACCGCGCUGGUUUACGUGACAGUCCGGGUAUUGUGUCUCACAGCGUUGAGGUACGUGGACAGUCAGGGUAUGUGGUCUCACAGCGUGGGUAACGUGACAGUCAGGUAUGUGGUCUCACAGCGUCUGAGUGUACGUGACAGUCAGGGUAUGUGGUCUCACUAGCUUGGGGGUACGUGACAGUCAGGGUAUGUGGUCUUCACAGGCAUUGAGUACGUGACAGUCAAGGGUA
rnacentral:lncRNA from 1 species